UACGAAGGGGGCUAGCGUUGUUCGGAUUUACUGGGCGUAAAGCGCACGUAGGCGGAUUGUUAAGUCAGGGGUGAAAUCCUGGAGCUCAACUCCAGAACUGCCUUUGAUACUGGCAAUCUUGAGUCCGGAAGAGGUGAGUGGAACUCCUAGUGUAGAGGUGGAAUUCGUAGAUAUUAGGAAGAACACCAGUGGCGAAGGCGGACUCACUGGUCCGGUACUGACGCUGAGGUGCGAAAGCGUGGGGAGCAAACAGGG
rnacentral:rRNA from 1 species